rnacentral:tRNA from 1 species
CUCCCCGUAGCUCAGUGGAAGAGCAUGCGUUUCCGAGGCGCGUGGUCGCGAGUUCGACUCUCGCCGGGGAGACCA